rnacentral:rRNA from 1 species
CCUACGGGUGGCAGCAGUGGGGAAUAUUGGACAAUGGGCGAAAGCCUGAUCCAGCCAUGCCGCGUGUGUGAAGAAGGCCUUCGGGUUGUAAAGCACUUUCAGUGGGGAAGAAAGCCUUGGGGCUAAUACCCUCGAGGAAGGACAUCACCCACAGAAGAAGCACCGGCUAACUCCGUGCCAGCAGCCGCGGUAAUACGGAGGGUGCGAGCGUGAAUCGGAAUUACUGGGCGUAAAGCGCGCGUAGGCGGUCUGAUAAGCCGGUUGUGAAAGCCCCGGGCUCAACCUGGGAACGGCAUCCGGAACUGUCAGGCUAGAGUGCAGGAGAGGAAGGUAGAAUUCCCGGUGUAGCGGUGAAAUGCGUAGAGAUCGGGAGGAAUACCAGUGGCGAAGGCGGCCUUCUGGACUGACACUGACGCUGAGGUGCGAAAGCGUGGGUAGCAAACAGGAUUAGAUACCCCAUAGUC